UACAUACUCCCUCCGUCCCAAAAUUCUUGUCUUAGAUUUUUCUAGAAAUGGAUGUAUCAAAAUACUAAAACAUGACUAGAUACAUUAAUAUCUAAACAAAUCUAAGACAAGAAUUUUGGGACGGAGUGAGUAUAUG
rnacentral:pre_miRNA from 1 species